GAACAUUCUAAGAACCUUCAUAGUAUAUGCUGUGACUACCCAGGGGACACAGUGAAAGAGAAAACAGAAUCUUACUUGAUGGGACCUUCUCAGUUACAUGGUCUCUGCUUUCUCUUCCCUUCACAUGAUCAGAACAAUAUGACAUAUUGAGGGAUAUCUCUUGAGACCAGGAAACUUGUUCUUUCUCAUUAUUUCAAUUCCAGGUUUGUUUAGCUGAGUGACCUGCUCUUCUGGAUCACCAACAGCAACCCCUCAACCAGGUUCAACCUAGGCCAGAAUGACUUGCCCGGGCAUGUAGCCCCAAGUUAGGCUUUUGGCCCUAUCUCCUGACAACUAUGGUUGCCUCAGCCUUUCCAAAGAUGAAGUUAUGUUUAUGAAGUUUCAGGUAACAUGUGGAAAUACAAGAGAUAAAAGAAUCAGUCAUGGCCUUAAAAUUAUUUGCUGCAUAGAAGCUACCAGAUUCUCUAAGACUGUCUUCUUAUUUCUCUGUGAAUUUUCUUUCUGAAACUAAUUUGAAUCUUUUUUUUUAAGUGCUUCCGGGAACACUCUUAAGAAGUUUGACCUUAUCAAUGAUUUAGAUAUUCUUCCAAAGUACUUGAUAAUUGUGAACUAGUUACAAUUGACUCCCCAUUUUCAGAGGCAGAAGUAUACUCUGGCUUUUUGAACACAGCGCAUUCAAUAAAUUUCAUUUGUUUAUAUUUCAAGAAUACAUUUCAAAUCUUCAACCAUAAGCUUUUUUGGUGUUUUCAUUUUGCUUAAUAAAUAAUGUGAGUUG
rnacentral:lncRNA from 1 species